rnacentral:tRNA from 2 species
GCCCACGUGGUGGAAUUGGUAGACACACCAUCUUGAGGGGGUGGCGGCGAAAGUCGUGGGAGUUCGAGUCUCCCCGUGGGCACCA